AGCGAACGCUGGCGGCGUGGAUAAGACAUGCAAGUCGGACGGGACUAAAUCUGUAGCAAUACAGGUUUAGUUUAGUGGCGAACGGGUGCGUAACACGUGGGCAAUCUGCCGAGAAGUGGGGAUAGCUCGCCGAAAGGCGAAUUAAUACCGCAUAUGAUCAGUGAAGACAUCUUCACGACAUCAAAGCCGGGGCAACCUGGCGCUUCUUGAUGAGCCCGCGGCCUAUCAGCUAGUUGGUGAGGUAACGGCUCACCAAGGCUAUGACGGGUAGCUGGUCUGAGAGGACGACCAGUCACACUGGAACUGAGACACGGUCCAGACACCUACGGGUGGCAGCAGUCGAGAAUUUUUCUCAAUGGGGGAACCCUGAAGGAGCGACGCCGCGUGGAGGAUGAAGGCUUUCGGGUU
rnacentral:rRNA from 1 species